AACGAACGCUGGCGGCAUGCCUAACACAUGCAAGUCGAACGAGAUCUUCGGGUCUAGUGGCGCACGGGUGCGUAACGCGUGGGAAUCUGCCCUUUGGUUCGGAAUAACAGUUGGAAACGACUGCUAAUACCGGAUGAUGACGAAAGUCCAAAGAUUUAUCGCCAGAGGAUGAGCCCGCGUAGGAUUAGCUAGUUGGUGUGGUAAAGGCGCACCAAGGCGACGACCCUUAGCUGGACUGAGAGGAUGAUCAGCCACACUGGGACUGAGACACGGCCCAGACUCCUACGGGAGGCAGCAGUGGGGAAUAUUGGACAAUGGGCGAAAGCCUGAUCCAGCAAUGCCGCGUGAGUGAUGAAGGCCUUAGGGUUGUAAAGCUCUUUUACCCGGGAUGAUAAUGACAGUACCGGGAGAAUAAGCUCCGGCUAACUCCGUGCCAGCCGCCGCAGUAA
rnacentral:rRNA from 1 species